rnacentral:lncRNA from 1 species
UAAACAUUUUAGCAAUUUCUUCUUUCCUGCCUGCUGAAGACUGACUUCCUCCUGCUGCCAAAGUUCUAGAGUCUGGACGUCUGAGAUCAGGGUGCCAGCACUGUCGAGGUCACAGACUGCAGACCUCCUUGUAUCUUCAAAUGGAGGAAAGAGGACAAGAGAGCUCCUGUGGUCCCUUUUAUCAAGAUGAAUGCACAAGGAAAAUGUUGUACAUUUGCACAUUGGAGUACACUUCAGCCAUAAAAAGAAUGAGAUGCUGUCAUUUGCAACAACAGGUCAACAGCAAUCUGAGACACACUCUUCUCAUGGCAGAUUAUGGGACCAUAAAGCAGGUAAGUAGUUAAGUUUUUGGCUCAGAACUAAUAGACUGAUAUUUCUUUCUACAUUUCUUUCACCAAAAUAAGUCAUGGCUAAGAGCAACAUUAAUAGUGCAAGGAAAUAUUCUACGCAUCUUCUGCCACAAGGUAGGAGGAAUUGAACAGCGGAAAACAAUAACCCAAGCUAACACACCAGGACAUUUAAUAUGUAUAGCUUUCAUUAUAAUAUAUUCAAAUAUAUAUUAAAUAAUUGUGAAUAUUUGCUUCUCCUGGUUUAACAAAAGGUAUGCCAAAAUUCACUUAUUCUGACAUCAUGGACUCUAUU